AACGCGAAGAACCUUACCCGGGCUCGAACGGCACUUCAACGCUCAUGGAAACAUGGAUAUCCCGCAAGGGAGUAAUGUCGAGGUGCUGCAUGGCUGUCGUCAGCUCGUGUCGUAAGAUGUUGGGUUAAGUCCCGCAACGAGCGCAACCCUUGCCCCGUUUUGCCAUCAUUAAGUUGGGAACUAUCAGGGGACCGCCAGCGAUAAGUUGGAGGAAGGUGGGGAUGACGUCAAGUCAGCAUGCCCCUUACACCCUGGGCUACACACGUGCUACAUUGGACGAGACAAUGAGAUGCAAAUCUGCAAAGACUAGCUAAUCUAUAAACUCGUUCUAAGUUCGGAUUGUAGGCUGCAACUCGCCUACAUGAAGGUGGAAUCGCUAGUAAUCGCUGGUCAGCUAUACAGUGGUGAAUUCGUUCCCGGGUCUUGUACACACCG
rnacentral:rRNA from 1 species